GCAGCAGCCGCGGGAAUACAGAGGGUGCGAGCGUUAAUCGGAUUUACUGGGCGUAAAGCGUGCGUAGGCGGCUAAUUGAGUCGGAUGUGAAAUCCCCGAGCUUAACUUGGGAAUUGCAUUCGAUACUGGUUAGCUAGAGUGUGGGAGAGGAUGGUAGAAUUCCAGGUGUAGCGGUGAAAUGCGUAGAGAUCUGGAGGAAUACCGAUGGCGAAGGCAGCCAUCUGGCCUAACACUGACGCUGAGGUACGAAAGCAUGGGGAGCAAACAGGAUUAGAUACCCCGGUAGUCCCUGUCUCUUAUAA
rnacentral:rRNA from 1 species